rnacentral:rRNA from 1 species
GGACCCGGGAUAGCCCAGGGAAACCUGGAUUAAUACCGGAUGAGACGGGACCCGCGAUGGCGGGACCCGGGAAAGGCGCUGCGGCGCCGCCGGGGGAUGAGUCUGCGUCCCAUUAGCUAGACGGCGGGGUAACGGCCCACCGUGGCGACGAUGGGUAGCCGGCCUGAGAGGGUGACGGCCACAUUGGAACUGAGACACGGUCCAGACUCCUACGGGAGGCAGCAGCUAAGAAUCUUCCGCAAUGGGCGAAAGCCUGACGGAGCGACGCCCGCGUGAACGAAGAAGGCCGUGAGGUUGUAAAGUUCUUUUCGGGAGGGGGAACAACCGUGGCAGGGAAUGGCCGCGGGAUGACGUGAAUCCCGGAAUAAGCCCCGGCUAACUACGUGCCAGCAGCGGC